CCGAUAUACACAGAGAACCACGUGGAGGAAAAGCACGCGAGUUUGGAGCGGGUGGAGCAGGAACAGAGGUGGACUGGAAUGUCACACGACGGGGCAGCUGGAAGGGCACCACUGAGUUCAGUACUUCAAAAUUGCCGUGCUCUACCUCUCCCCAGUGCACAAAAACACUCUCCACACCAAGCUGCUGCUGCUGGGGGAUGGAGGGAUGGCGUCAGCGAUUCAAGACUGUUUUUCCUACCUGUUCAGCACUUCUUUCAGCGAUAUGAAGUUAAAUCCAGUCUUUC
rnacentral:lncRNA from 1 species